UACGUAGGUCCCGAGCGUUGUCCGGAUUUAUUGGACGUAAAGCGAGCGCAGGUGGUUUAUUAAGUCUGGUGUAAAAGGCAGUGGCUCAACCAUUGUAUGCAUUGGAAGCUGGUAGACUUGAGUGCAGGAGAGGAGAGUGGAAUUCCAUGUGUAGCGGUGAAAUGCGUAGAUAUAUGGAGGAACACCGGUGGCGAAAACGGCUCUCUGGCCUGUAACUGACACUGAGGCUCGAAAGCGUGGGGAGCAAACAGG
rnacentral:rRNA from 1 species